CGGGCCGUCCGACCCGUCGCUGCGCUCGGUCUAUACGGGCGUAGAGAAAAGUCCGGACUCGCGAGGGCUGGGGCCUGAAAGCUCCGGCCCGGAACGGCCGCUCGGGUUAAUAACCCGAGGGGCGGGGCGGCGCAAGCCCCCCGUCACGUCAAGUGCAGCAGAGAGCAGACCAGCCGAUGGCUCGGAGGCCUGGCCUUCGAGCACAGGUGAUGGGUGAAAGGGUGGGGUAAGAGCCCACCGGCGGUAUCCCGUGAGGGACCGGCCAGGCAAACCACCGGUGCGAGCAAGCCAAAUUGUACCGGCGCCGCGAGGCGCCCGGGCUGGUAGGCGCAGCUCCUCCAAGAGGAGCCCGGGAGAUAUUCCCGGAGAUGGAUGGCGGGAUAGAGCAGAAUCCGGCUUACGGGACGGCCUGAACC
rnacentral:RNase_P_RNA from 1 species